rnacentral:rRNA from 1 species
AUUGAACGCUGGCGGAAUGCUUUACACAUGCAAGUCGAACGGCAGCACGGACUUCGGUCUGGUGGCGAGUGGCGAACGGGUGAGUAAUGUAUCGGAACGUGCCCAGUCGUGGGGGAUAACGUAGUGAAAAUUACGCUAAUACCGCAUACGAUCUAUGGAUGAAAGCGGGGGAUCGCAAGACCUCGCGCGAUUGGAGCGGCCGAUAUCAGAUUAGGUAGUUGGUGGGGUAAAAGCCCACCAAGCCAACGAUCUGUAGCUGGUCUGGGAGGACUACCAGCCACCUUGGAACUGAGAUACGGUCCAGACGCCUACGGGAGGCAGCGGUGGGGAGUUUUGGACAAUGGGUGAAAGGCUGCUCCAGCCAUUCCGCGUGCAGGAUGAAGGCCCUCGGGUUGUAGACUGCUUUUGUACAGAAGGAAAAGGUUUCUACUAAUACUAGGAGCUCAUGACGGUACUGUAAGAAUAAGCACCGGCUAACUACGUGCCAGCCGCCGCCGUAA